ACAUGCAAGUCGAACGAAGCAUACGGACCGGAGAUUCGUCGAAGGACCGUAUGACUUAGUGGCGGACGGGUGAGUAAUGUAUGAGCAACCUGCCUUUCAGAGGGGGACAACAGUUGGAAACGACUGCUAAUACCGCAUAAUGUAUGAUGAGGACAUCCUCGACAUACCAAAGGAGCAAUCCGCUGAAAGAUGGGCUCAUAUCUGAUUAGCUUGUUGGCGGGGUAACGGCCCACCAAGGCGACGAUCAGUAGCCGGACUGAGAGGUUGAACGGCCACAUUGGGACUGAGAUACGGCCCAGACUCCUACGGGAGGCAGCAGUGGGGAAUAUUGGGCAAUGGGCGAAAGCCUGACCCAGCAACGCCGCGUGAAGGAAGAAGGUCUUCGGAUUGUAAACUUCUUUUAUGAGGGACGAAGGACGUGACGGUACCUCAUGAAUAAGCCACGGCUAACUACGUGCCAGCAGCCGCGGUAAUACGUAGGUGGCGAGCGUUAUCCGGAUUUACUGGGUGUAAAGGGCGCG
rnacentral:rRNA from 1 species